UACAGAGGGUGCAAGCGUUGUUCGGAAUUAUUGGGCGUAAAGAGCGUGUAGGCGGCCCGACCAGUCCGCUGUGAAAGUCCAGGGCUCACCCUGGAAUGCCGGUGGAUACUGUCGGGCUAGAGUCCGGAAUGGGCGAGUGGAAUUCCUGGUGUAGCGGUGAAAUGCGUAGAGAUCCGGAGGAACACCAAAGGCGAAGGCAGUGUCCUGGGGGAGUACCUGACGCUCGGUGCGAAAGCCAGGGGGAGCGGAACGGG
rnacentral:rRNA from 1 species